GCCAGUUUGGUUCAGUGGAUAGAGCGUUGGACUGCGGACUCAAGGGUCACGGGUUCGAUUCCAGUCAAGGGCA
rfam:Myotis davidii contig24690, whole genome shotgun sequence.